UGAUCCAGCAAUGCCGCGUGUGUGAAGAAGGCCUGCGGGUUGUAAAGCACUUUUAGUAGGGAAGAUAAUGACGUUACCUACAGAAAAAGCACCGGCUAACUCCGUGCCAGCAGCCGCGGUAAUACGGAGGGUGCAAGCGUUAAUCGGAAUUACUGGGCGUAAAGCGUGCGUAGAGCGGCUCAUUAAGUCAGAUGUGAAAUCCCCGGGCUCAACCUGGGAACUGCAUCUGAUACUGGAGAUCUAGAAUGUGGGAGAGGGAAGUGGAAUUUCCGGUGUAGCGGUGAAAUGCAUAGAGAUCGGAAGGAACAUCAGUGGCGAAGGCGACUUCCUGGACCAACAUUGACGCUGAGGCACUAAAGCGUGGGUAGCAAACAGGAUUAGAUACCCUGGUAGUCCACGCCGAUAAACGAUGUCGGCUAGCCGUCGGCUCCAACUAAGGGGUCGGUGGUGCAGCUAACGCAUUAAGUUGACCGCCUGGGGA
rnacentral:rRNA from 1 species